rnacentral:tRNA from 1 species
GGAGCCGUAGCGCAGUUGGUAGCGCGCCUGAUUUGGGAUCAGGAGGCCACCAGUUCGAGCCUGGUCGGUUCCA